GAUGAAGAACGCAGUGAAAUGCGAUAAGUAAUGUGAAUUGCAGAAUUCAGUGAAUCAUCGAAUCUUUGAACGCACAUUGCGCCCUCUGGUAUUCCGGGGGGCAUGCCUGUUCGAGCGUCAUUAUAACCACUCAAGCUCUCGCUUGGUAUUGGGGUUCGCGGUUCCGCGGCCCCUAAAAUCAGUGGCGGUGCCUGUCGGCUCUACGCGUAGUAAUACUCCUCGCGAUUGAGUCCGGUAGGUCUACUUGCCAGCAACCCCCAAUUUUUACAGGUUGACCUCGGAUCAGGUAGGGAUACCCGCUGAACUUAAGCAUAUCAAUAACGGAGGA
rnacentral:misc_RNA from 1 species